rnacentral:rRNA from 1 species
AAAUUGAAGAGUUUGAUCAUGGCUCAGAUUGAACGCUGGCGGCAGGCCUAACACAUGCAAGUCGAACGGUAACAGGAAGCAGCUUGCUGUUUCGCUGACGAGUGGCGGACGGGUGAGUAAUGUCUGGGAAACUGCCUGAUGGAGGGGGAUAACUACUGGAAACGGUGGCUAAUACCGCAUAACGUCGCAAGACCAAAGAGGGGGACCUUCGGGCCUCUUGCCAUCAGAUGUGCCCAGAUGGGAUUAGCUUGUUGGUGAGGUAACGGCUCACCAAGGCGACGAUCCCUAGCUGGUCUGAGAGGAUGACCAGCCACACUGGAACUGAGACACGGUCCAGACUCCUACGGGAGGCAGCAGUGGGGAAUAUUGCACAAUGGGCGCAAGCCUGAUGCAGCCAUGCCGCGUGUAUGAAGAAGGCCUUCGGGUUGUAAAGUACUUUCAGCGGGGAGGAAGGUGUUGUGGUUAAUA